rnacentral:rRNA from 1 species
UAUGGAGGGUGCAAGCGUUGUCCGGAUUUAUUGGGUUUAAAGGGUGCGUAGGCGGCCUUUUAAGUCAGUGGUGAAAGCCCAUAGCUCAACUAUGGAACUGCCAUUGAUACUGAAAGGCUUGAGUACAGACGAGGUUGGCGGAAUGGAUGGUGUAGCGGUGAAAUGCAUAGAUACCAUCCAGAACUCCGAUUGCGUAGGCAGCUAACUAGGCUGUAACUGACGCUGAGGCACGAAAGCGUGGGGAGCAAACAGG